rnacentral:rRNA from 1 species
AUGAGUAACACAACCUUCUCUAUAUGCUCGUGGAAUGUACGCGGUCUCGGUGAUCAGGACAAAUGCUCCGACAUCCUCUCGGAACUAAUCUCAAUCAAACCACAUAUCGCCCUUCUUCAAGAAUCCAAACUUGAAAUGCUACCGACCAGAAGCUACGGUCAUUCAUGCCGCCACCUUGAUCAAGUUUUCUCCUUACCAGCUGUAGGCUCUGCGGGCGGAACCAUCUCUGCCGUUAACCCUGCCUUCUUUCAAGUAAUCUCCUUCUCACACCUCUCCUUCUCCUCAACCCUGAUCUUGCGAUCUACGAUAAACGACCGUAACAUAGCCAUCACUAACAUUUACGCUCCCUCCUCAUGCGCUCUCAAGCAACAAUUCCUCGAUGAAUUAUUACUUAUUGCCCAACCAGAUGACUCACCCUGGCUUCUCGUUGGUGACUUCAACCUCCUCCGGUUCCCCUCAGACAAAAACAAUGCGGCUUUUAGACAGGCAGAUGCCAACGCCUUUAACCAAACUAUUGAUGAACUGGCACUCAUCGAGCUACCGCUUCUCAACCGACAAUUCACAUGGUCUAACAAUAGGAACACACCCACCCUCGAACGCAUUGACCGCGCCUUCUUUAAUCUAGAUUGGGCAAAUGCCUUCCCCAACUCCUCCCUCACAUCUCGCGCGCUUCAUGUCAGAUCAGGUUCCCCUCAUCAUUAA